rnacentral:rRNA from 1 species
GUGGGGAAUUUUGCGCAAUGGGGGAAACCCUGACGCAGCGACGCCGCGUGAAGGACGAAGGCCUUCGGGUUGUAAACUUCUUUUGUAAGGGAAGAUAAUGACGGUACCUUACGAAUAAGCCACGGCUAACUCUGUGCCAGCAGCCGCGGUAAGACAGAGGUGGCGAGCGUUGUUCGGAUUUACUGGGCUUAAAGGGCGCGUAGGCGGUGAGAUAAGUCUGUGGUGGAAUCCCAGGGCUCAACCCUGGAAUUGCCAUGGAAACUGUUUCACUUGAGUCAGCGAGGGGAGGACGGAAUUCCUGGUGUAGCAGUGAAAUGCGUAGAUAUCAGGAGGAAGGCCGGCGGCGAAGGCGGUCCUCUGGCGCUGUACUGACGCUGAGGCGCGAAAGCGUGGGGAGCAAACAGGAUUAGAAACCCGAGUAGUCC